rnacentral:rRNA from 1 species
UGGGGAAUAUUGCACAAUGGGCGCAAGCCUGAUGCAGCGACGCCGCGUGGGGGAUGAAGGCCUUCGGGUUGUAAACUCCUUUCGCUAGGGACGAAGCUUUGUUGUGACGGUACCUAGAUAAGAAGCACCGGCUAACUACGUGCCAGCAGCCGCGGUAAUACGUAGGGUGCGAGCGUUGUCCGGAAUUACUGGGCGUAAAGGGCUCGUAGGUGGUUUGUCGCGUCGUCUGUGAAAUUCUGGGGCUUAACUCCGGGCGUGCAGGCGAUACGGGCAUAACUUGAGUGCUGUAGGGGUAACUGGAAUUCCUGGUGUAGCGGUGAAAUGCGCAGAUAUCAGGAGGAACACCGAUGGCGAAGGCAGGUUACUGGGCAGUUACUGACGCUGAGGAGCGAAAGCAUGGGUAGCGAACAGGAUUAGAUACCCUGGUAGUCCAUGCCGUAAACGGUGGGCGCUAGGUGUGAGGGUCUUUCUACGACUUUCGUGCCGUAGCUAACGCAUUAAGCGCCCCGCCUGGGGAGUACGGCCGCAAGGCUA